rnacentral:tRNA from 1 species
GGGGAUUUAGCUCAGCGGCAUAAGCGCCUGCCUUGCAAGCAGGCAGUUGUGAUCCCCG